rnacentral:rRNA from 1 species
GUAGGUGGCAAGCGUUGUCCGGAAUUAUUGGGCGUAAAGCGCGCGCAGGUGGUUCUUUAAGUCUGAUGUGAAAGACCCCCGGGCUCAACCGGAGAGGGUCAUUGGAAACUGGGGAACUUGAGUGCAGGAGAGGAAAGUGGAAUUCCACGUGUAGCGGUGAAAUGCGUAGAUAUGUGGAGGAACACCAGUGGCGAAGGCGACUUUCUGGCCUGUAACUGACACUGAGGCGCGAAAGCGUGGGGAGCAAACAGGAUUAGAUACCCUGGUAGUCCACGCCGUAAACGAUGAGUGCUAAGUGUUGGGGGGGUUUCCGCCCCUCAGUGCUGCAGCUAACGCAUUAAGCACUCCGCCUGGGGAGUACGGUCGCAAGACUG